AUGGAGGCCGGGUGGAUAUCGGCCCCCGUCUCGGGAGGGCUCCAUUUUCCUGGUUUUAGGGUUAAUGUUUGGUGGGACGACACUCAGGUGGUGGUGGUGGCAUCUUGUCCAACAAAAUCUCCACGGCUUCAGCCCCAUCUUGGCGACGACGUCGAGAAGCUUGUGGGAUUUGUGUGGUUCUUGAGGACUUCUUCUGGCCGUAGGGAUCUAUGGAUCGUCAAGGAGCUUCAUCGGCGGUUCUUCCUCCUUCGUCAUCUUCGGGACAGAUGUGGUCUUCUUGACCCUUUCGGCGCUUCCCAUCCGCAUCCAACAACGUCAGGACGGCUCAGGGAGGAGUGGCAGUGUCGGCGCACCGUCGACAUGGUCUGGGGGUUGAAGACGAAGGGCAUCUCAAGGAUUCCAUUGUAA
rnacentral:rRNA from 1 species